ensembl:lncRNA
CGUUGAUUCCCACUGCUCAUGACUUUUCAUGAAAAAAUUAUAUGGAUCUGAUUGGCAUGUAAAGAUACCCACACAGGUAUCUCGGUAUGAUUUGAAAAUGUGUUGACGACUCCUUAACCAAACGUAGCAGACGAAAGCCAAUCAAUGGCUACCAGGGGCGGAGAGUGGCUUGUCUGUCAGGUCGGCGCUAUAAUGAAUUGAAUAGGGAGGGAGGGGGAGAAUCCAAUCCGGUUUGAGCUAGUUUUUGUUCCAAUCGAACAUUAACGUCUUGCUAGGCUGUAAUAGAACGUACUGUUUGAAUCUUAUACCGAACAUACUGUAUUUUCUUUCUCGGUUUUGGAAGAUUUCCCUGUUUUUUUCUUUACACGAAACAGCCAUGCCUAAAAGGAGCAAAGUAAGUACAGUGUUUUCUUUAUUGAUUUUUUUGUGUCCUUUGACAGAUGCAAAUCAAAUUGCAUUAAAUGCAUUUGGUUUUGCAUGUACAAUUGUUAAAAUGUAGAGGCAAAUGCAUGUUGUUUUGGUCCGCUCCGCUGCAAUGUUGCACUGCUCUGUGUGCAGUCAGGAGUUUAAAAUGUAUCACUCUGUUUUGAUUUGGGAAGUGGCGGGUUUUCUUCGUCUUAUCUUUUUCAUGCUGUGAUUUUACUCUUCGAAAAUUAGGACCGGUUAAAUGUGCGGUACCUAUUAUUUACCCAGUCAUAUCGGUUAUGCAUUGUGGUUUUUGUCACAUUUUCACAGUGGUUGUUUACAAUACAUUACAUUUACCUUUAGACAGACAAAGAGGUGUAGGUCGUGAGAUGGCCAUUCUGCAGAAAUAAAGUUGGUGACACCGAUCUUUUACUAGGAUUGCACGUUUUGUAAAAUAUAACAUUUAAUUUAGACUGUAUUUCAUGCACCCAUGUCUAAAUACGUUGUAAUAUAAAGUAUAAUAUAGCCGUAUAUAUUACUCAAUGUAUACUGGGCAGUAAGGUAUGCACAUGCCGAAGACUAUUUCUUGGGCUCUUCGUAAAGGGCACGAAGUAUCUGUGUGUCAUGGCUACCCUUGUGGGCAAGACAAACACUGACGACGUUUUCCUUUACUUUCCCAUAUCAAAAUGCAUCGUUAUGUAUAUUUUGUUAUAUGUAAAGUGUACGCAUGCAACAUGUUGUAUCGUUAAUGUUUUCCGUGGUUACAUUUCAUUUUCAUGUGCCCUUUCGUUUUUGUUGUUUCCUCGUGCCAAUUAUGGGUUAUGCAAUGGCGAUUCGUCGACAUCACUGAGGCGCAGUGUUGCUGGGGAUUCUAGUAGAUUCUGUAACCAUUUGGAGAAUCGCUGAGGAUCUCGGAGAGUUCGAAAUUCGAAUGAAUGGCGGGAACACAUAGUAGACAGGCUGGUCGACGUAGAGGACAGUCAUGCAGCUUGCCAAAAUCCCAUUUAUCACCAUUGAAUGAAUGUGUCGGGAGGAGGAGCCGGUAUUCCCCUCCUCUCCCUAGAGAGCAUGAGCAGCAUGGUAAUAAUAAUUGGCGUAACCUAAGCAUAGUAACACGUCUAUUUGGCAGUUAUGGAUAAUGUAAGUGGAACAAACAAGCGGUUAUAUCACUCGAUUGUGGUGUUAACACCAUGCAAUACUUUUUGACUUUACAACCACGCCCACUUUGUGUUACAUAACUCCAAUACUCAUGGCAUUUAAACUGCCCCCCGUGUAAACACCCAAAAUGUUGCUCUGCUGAGCUGUUACUAACUUAUCUUUUUUCCCCAGGCAAAUGCUGAUUCUGAGGCAGCAGAGGUGAGUAAAAAACCUCUGAAUAAAAGAGAAAGUGUGCAUGUUAAAGUUCUUAUGAUGUACAAAUAUUAAUGUUAAUACAAUUCCAUUGGUCAGCCACCAGAUGUCAGCAUCAAACAGUCUUGUCAAAACCUGCCCCCGUUUAAUGAUGGUAUAUUUCUUUUUUGGGGGGAUGUUUUUCAGCCCAAGAGAAGAUCUGAGCGAUUGGUUAACGUGAGUACAUUAAGUUUCUAUAAUAAGCGUGUAAAAACCACACAAAAAAAACAUAGAAUUCCAGCUAAGAAACACACUGAAUGAAAUAUUUAAUUGCAGAAACCGGCUACUCCAAAGGCAGAGCCCAAGCCAAAGAAGGAGAAGGCAGCACCUAAGCCCAAGAAGGCUAAAGAGGUGAAGAAGACUGAGCCUGAGGAGAAGGAGGAGGUGCCCGCAGAGAAUGGGGAAGCCAAAGCUGAGGAUGAGGCACCAGCCACAGAUGAACCUGAACAGAAAGAUGAUGAAGAGGAGGCAGCAGAAUAACAUCUCUCAAACCACAUCUUUUAUCAGUGCUCCCUGUACCUCUUUUUCUUGUACAAUUCAGGGGAAUAUUUUUAUCGACUUUUCUAAAUGCAGGUUUUUUAGUAGUUUGAUUGUAGAAACAUUUUUUUAUGAAACAAAAUAAAUUUGGAGACAGGGAUUUCAAUGCAUCCCGCAUUUUUACAUCUCCGGAACAAUUAUGGUCAUUGUAAAUUGUCAAAUGUUUUUAUUUUCAAUGUAGGGGAAAGAAGGGGUGGGACAGGUUGCUGUAUCAAGAACAUGCAAUCACGUCGUUUACAGGAUCCGGUUGAAACAACAGAGCUUGCCUAAAAAGAGACUAACAUUCCAUAGGCUAUAUGAGGGACGGUAUAUGUAACCUGCAUUGUGUGGUGGGGAGGGGAUGAAUAACUGAACACAUUGUUGUAUUGUUUAUAAUGAGGAAAUGCGUUUUAGAAUGUUUGUAAGCUGUGUUCCACAUGUUAACUCUUGUACUCAUGGCAACUUUUUUUUGCUUUUUUUUUUUUUUUUUCGAACCAUUCUGCUUAAUAAACCUUUUCUCUAGUACUGGAGUUUCUCCCUAUCAGGCCUGUGCAUUGCGCGUAAUUGGUUUUGUCUUUGUUUUGUGAUAGCAUUGCAAUACAUUUGUAUAGAUGCUGUUAAAAAGGGUUUUCAAACAUUAUAUGCAGUGUGUACACUGUGAGGAUGGUAAAAAUGGAAUUCUGUGUUUUUAGCAAAGCUAAUGACAUGCAUAACAGUGUGAUACAAACAGUGGAUUAUAGUUCCUUGAAUGCAGAGACUGUGCGUCCACUGGAGCUGUCAAAUACACACACCAGCAGUAGCAAUAUUCAUAUGCGUUUUAGGUAUCAAGUUCAAGUGUACAGUUUCUUUUAUUUGUUUAUAGAUGUAUCUGUGUAAUGAUUGGUAUAAACCAAUAAAAUGUGGUUAUAAUUGUUGUCUAAUUGUGUUAUGAAAAUAAUGUGUGAAUCCAAACCCUCUAGUUAGAAGUAGAUAGAAUUUUAGAAGCUACUUGAUUGGAAAGUUAAAAAAUACACAGCAGUAACAAAGAACAUUGCAAUUGUGACUGGGAUGUCAACUGUUGUUCAAAGAAACAAACUAGAUAAUCCUAUAUAAUGGAAUUAAAUGAGGGAGAAAAAUUGAUGUCUCCUCUGUACUUUGAAUUCAAGCUAUAUAUUGUACAGUGUGAGCUAAGAAUAUAGAAUUAUAGAAUCUGAGUAGCAAGGUGAUAAGUCAAUUCCUCCUUACUAUCUGGAUAAUAAGGAAAAGUUGAAUGUGUGAUUACAGAUAUUGUGUUACAGACCUAAUUGCCUCUUCCCCUGAAAACCAUAAUGUACACUUGUCAAGGAAAGGGCUGAUGGCAACAACUACAAUUUGUCCUUUGAAAAAACUGGUUUCACUUUACGGACCAAUGGAAUGGUUUAAAGUCUGCCUAAUUGGGACAUGCAAACUACUCACUACUUUAGUUAUUCCAACGAGUAUUCACUCGCAUUGGAUUUCCCACUGAUCAAC